rnacentral:tRNA from 1 species
UGAUAAUUAGUUUAAUAAAAACAAAUGAUUUCGACUCAUUAGAUUGUGACUCACAUUACAAUUAUCAG